UGGGGAAUCUUGCGCAAUGGGCGGAAGCCUGACGCAGCAACGCCGCGUGGGGGAUGACGGCCUUCGGGUUGUAAACCUCUUUCGCGAUCGACGAAGGUCCACUUUCUGUGGGCUGACGGUAGGUCGAGAAGAAGCACCGGCCAACUACGUGCCAGCAGCCGCGGUAAUACGUAGGGUGCGAGCGUUGUCCGGAAUUAUUGGGCGUAAAGAGCUCGUAGGCGGUGUGUCGCGUCGGCCGUGAAAACCUGGGGCUCAACUCUGGGCGUGCGGUCGAUACGGGCAUCACUUGAGUUCGGCAGGGGAGACUGGAAUUCCUGGUGUAGCGGUGAAAUGCGCAGAUAUCAGGAGGAACACCGGUGGCGAAGGCGGGUCUCUGGGCCGAUACUGACGCUGAGGAGCGAAAGCAUGGGUAGCGAACAGG
rnacentral:rRNA from 1 species